rnacentral:tRNA from 2 species
GGUCUGCUGGCCCAAUGGCAAGGCGUCUGACUACGAAUCAGGAGAUUGCAGGUUCGACCCCUGCGUAGAUCA